AGUGAACGCUGGCGGUAGGCCUAACACAUGCAAGUCGAACGGCAGCACAGUAAGAGCUUGCUCUUACGGGUGGCGAGUGGCGGACGGGUGAGGAAUACAUCGGAAUCUACUUUUUCGUGGGGGAUAACGUAGGGAAACUUACGCUAAUACCGCAUACGACCUACGGGUGAAAGCAGGGGAUCUUCGGACCUUGCGCGAUUGAAUGAGCCGAUGUCGGAUUAGCUAGUUGGCGGGGUAAAGGCCCACCAAGGCGACGAUCCGUAGCUGGUCUGAGAGGAUGAUCAGCCACACUGGAACUGAGACACGGUCCAGACUACUACGGGAGGCAGCAGUGGGGAAUAUUGGACAAUGGGCGCAAGCAUGAUCCAGCCAUACCGCGUGGGUGAAGAAGGCCUUCGGGUUGUAAAGACCUUUUGUUGGGAAAGAAAAGCAGCAGGUUAAUACCCCGCUGUUCUGACGGUACCCAAAGAAUAAGCACCGGCUAACUUCGUG
rnacentral:rRNA from 1 species